CGAUAUUAGGCAAGUUCUCCCCGUCUCCUCCUUCCUGUUCAGAACUCCUCUCGCCAUCGGGGAAUUGUCUCUGCUUGCCACAACGAUGGCGGAGGAAGGCACGAGCUCGAUUGAGUCUAUGAGGAAAUGGGUCGUCGAACACAAGCUGCGAACCGUUGGAACUCUUUGGUUGAGCGGACUUGCGGGAUCAGUCGCCUACAACUGGUCUCAACCCAACAUGAAAACUAGCGUUAAGAUCAUCCACGCUAGGCUGCAUGCUCAAUUCUUGACACUGGCUGCAUUGGCGGGAGCUGCAGUUGUGGAAUACUAUGAUCACAAGACUGGAGCAAAGGCAGACAAAUAUGCAAGGCAGUUCAGUCGGUUUGAUGCCCCUGCACACAAGGACUAACUAGGCAAGCAAGCAGAGUAGCAUGUCUGAUACCACAACUGAAUAAAACAGGCAGCGUGAUGAGUCUGGGGUCCAGGAGGCGUUCCUGAAAUCCCAGACUCAGUAGCAGGGUUGCAGCUACAAGCUAAAUUAUCAUCUCAGCAUGCUCUGUUUACAUGAGUUGUGUAGCUUGUGUUAUUGCUAGCUUGUGUCUAAUGUUCUGGCCUGUUAGUCAUUUUGGUUUGCUGCUGCCAAAAGUUGUCGAACACUUAAUGUUUCCUUUUUUCAAUAAUUGUCAUCAAUAUGAGUUGUUAGGUAAUCUGCAUAGUGGUUAGCACGUGCGUGACAUUAGGAGGAUCAUGUAAUUUCUUGGUAUUUACCAUUCAAUGUGGAACAGCUCUCCAAGAGGAUGACUCGUGUACCUAAUAACCCCAAGUUUGGUUCAUGAUGAUGUAUGUUUGACUAGAGAAGAUCCUGUUGAUCUCUUUCAUGAGGGUAUUAAAUCAUGGUUCCUUUGAGUGCA